CAUUUUGAGCUUAAAAUGUUGCUGUGAUUUUACACAUUUCUUAAAUAUCCUCUUUCUUAAAUGUAAACAGGGAAUGAAAAUGUACUUUCAUAGUUUAUAGAAACACAUUGGCAACAGUAAUCCGACAUAAAAACACCAUGCUGAAAAUAGCACAACUGAAGCCCCUGAUCGUUGAGUCUUGUUGGAACUUAAUCCUCUAAUUUGAUUGGCUAAUUUGAAGAUUACCUGUAAGCGAAACUCAGCCAAUGAUGAAAUUCAGCAGACAUGCUGAGCAGACAUUAACACACGUUUCUGUUCCGCCUGUUCAAAAGAAGGAAGAAAAAAAAAAACAGCAAGACAUCUCCCCACCAAACCAUAAAAAAGAGAAAACAGUGACUCAUGUCUCCGUGAGCUCAUCAUAUAAAAAGAAACCACCCGGUAUGGGGUAAUGAUGAUACCCAAUCAGUUUCAGUUGAAUCUUUCCGCUGCGUGGAAUAUUUAUUUUCCAAGGAAUCACAUCCAGAGGCUGUGCUUCGAAGUAAAACUGUGCUCCUUCUGACUGCUACUAGCUCGACGACUACCAAUCUGUUUCUCCAAACUGAGGCGACACUGAUGGCAACAAGACAGGAGGCUCCAUCAUAACCCCCAGCAGCAUACAGCAGGCCAUGCAGAACAGCUACACCCAGACAACUCCGCCUCGUUCCCAUGGAAACCUCCGGCUGCCAGGAGUUGGUGAUGGGAUCAUAGGACUC